UACGAAGGGGGCUAGCGUUGCUCGGAAUUACUGGGCGUAAAGCGCACGUAGGCGGCUUCUUAAGUCGGUGGUGAAAUCCUGGAGCUCAACUCCAGAACUGCCUUCGAUACUGGGAGCUCGAGUCCGGGAGAGGUGAGUGGAACUGCGAGUGUAGAGGUGAAAUUCGUAGAUAUUGCAAGAACACCAGUGGCGAAGGCGGACUCACUGGCCCGGUACUCGACGCUGAGGU
rnacentral:rRNA from 1 species